ACUCCUACGGGAGGCAGCAGUAGGGAAUCUUCCACAAUGGGCGAAAGCCUGAUGGAGCAAUGCCGCGUGAGUGAAGAAGGUUUUCGGAUCGUAAAACUCUGUUGUUGAAGAAGAACAUGCGUGAGAGUAACUGUUCACGUACUGACGGUAUUCAACCAGAAAGCCACGGCUAACUACGUGCCAGCAGCCGCGGUAAUACGUAGGUGGCAAGCGUUGUCCGGAUUUAUUGGGCGUAAAGAGAAUGUAGGCGGUUUAUUAAGUUUGAAGUGAAAGCCCUCGGCUCAACCGAGGAAGUGCUUCGAAAACUGGUAAACUUGAGUGCAGAAGAGGAAAGUGGAACUCCAUGUGUAGCGGUGGAAUGCGUAGAUAUAUGGAAGAACACCAGUGGCGAAGGCGGCUUUCUGGUCUGUAACUGACGCUGAGAUUCGAAAGCAUGGGUAGCAAACAGGAUUAGAUACCCUGGUAGACAUCA
rnacentral:rRNA from 1 species